rnacentral:tRNA from 1 species
GGUCUUGUAGCUCAGUUGGUAGAGCAGCUGACUCUUAAUCAGCGGGUCCAGGGUCCGAGUCCCUGCGGGACCA